AGGUUUUGCCCAAGGCGGGCGUUUCCUCCCUUCGACUUCGGCCCCGCUCACCCCAGAGCGGGGCCUCUUCGUAUCUGCG
rnacentral:sRNA from 1 species